rnacentral:rRNA from 1 species
GAUGAACGCUAGCUACAGGCUUAACACAUGCAAGUCGAGGGGAAACGAUAUUGGAAGCUUGCUUCCGAUAGGCGUCGACCGGCGCACGGGUGAGUAACGCGUAUCCAACCUGCCCAUCACUUGGGGAUAACCUUGCGAAAGUAAGACUAAUACCCAAUGACGUCUCUAGAAGACAUCUGAAGGAGAUUAAAGAUUUAUCGGUGAUGGAUGGGGAUGCGUCUGAUUAGCUUGUUGGCGGGGUAACGGCCCACCAAGGCGACGAUCAGUAGGGGUUCUGAGAGGAAGGUCCCCCACAUUGGAACUGAGACACGGUCCAAACUCCUACGGGAGGCAGCAGUGAGGAAUAUUGGUCAAUGGACGAGAGUCUGAACCAGCCAAGUAGCGUGCAGGAUGACGGCCCUAUGGGUUGUAAACUGCUUUUAUAAGGGAAUAAAGUGAGUCUCGUGAGACUUUUUGCAUGUACCUUAUGAAUAAGGACCGGCUAAUUCCGUGCCAGCA